AGAACGAACGCUGGCGGCAUGCCUAAUACAUGCAAGUCGAACGAACUCUUCGGAGUUAGUGGCGCACGGGUGCGUAACGCGUGGGAAUCUGCCCUUGGGUUCGGAAUAACAGUUGGAAACGACUGCUAAUACCGGAUGAUGACGAAAGUCCAAAGAUUUAUCGCCCAGGGAUGAGCCCGCGUAGGAUUAGCUAGUUGGUGAGGUAAAGGCUCACCAAGGCGACGAUCCUUAGCUGGUCUGAGAGGAUGAUCAGCCACACUGGGACUGAGACACGGCCCAGACUCCUACGGGAGGCAGCAGUAGGGAAUAUGGACAAUGGGCGAAAGCCUGAUCCAGCAAUGCCGCGUGAGUGAUGAAGGCCUUAGGUUGUAAAGCUCUUUUACCGAGAUGAUAAAUGACAGUAUCGGAAGAAUAAGCCCCGGCUAAACUCCGUGCCAGCAGCCGAC
rnacentral:rRNA from 1 species